rnacentral:rRNA from 1 species
GAAAGGUGAAAAGCACCCCGAACAGGGGAGUGAAAUAGUACCUGAAACCGUGCGCCUACAAGCGGUCGGAGCCAAUUUAUUUGGUGACGGCGUGCCUUUUGCAUAAUGAGCCUACGAGUUAUUCCUUACCAGCGAGGUUAAGUGCGUAAUAAGCACGGAGCCGAAGCGAAAGCGAGUCUUAACAGGGCGCCAGAGUUGGUAGGGAUAGACGCGAAACCUUGUGAUCUACCCAUGGUCAGGUUGAAGCUGUGGUAACACACAGUGGAGGACCGAACCAGUAAACGUUGAAAAGUUUUUGGAUGAACUGUGGGUAGGGGUGAAAGGCUAAUCAAACUGGGAAAUAGCUCGUACUCCCCGAAAUGCAUUUAGGUGCAGCCUUAUAAUAGUUUUGCAGAGGUAGAGCUACUGAUAGGACGCGAGGGCUUCAUCGCCUAUCAACUCCUGACAAACUCCGAAUGCUGCAAAAUGUUUUAUAGGAGUGAGGGCAUGGGUGCUAAGGUCCAUGUCCGAAAGGGAAAGAACCCGGACCAUCAGCUAAGGUCCCCAAGUAUAUGCUAAGUUGAAGCAAACGCGGUAUGGCUGCAGAGACAGCUAGGAUGUUGGCUUGGAAGCAGCCAUUCAUUUAAAGAGUGCGUAACAGCUCACUAGUCGAGCGGCCGUGCAUGGAUAAUAAUCGGGCAUAAGCAUAUCACCGAAGCUAUGGAUUGUUAAUUUAUUAACAGUGGUAGGGGAGCAUUCCAAACAGCGCAGAAGCAUUAUCGUGAGGUAUUGUGGAGUGUUUGGAAAAGCAAAUGUAGGCAUAAGUAACGAUAAAACGGGUGAGAAACCCGUUCGCCGAAAGACCAAGGUUUCCUGAUCAACGCUAAUCGGAUCAGGGUUAGUCGGGACCUAACGCGAACCCGAAAGGGGUAGUGGAUGGAAAGCAGGUUAAUAUUCCUGCACCUGUCAUACAAUAAAAGUGACGUGGGAUCGAGGUGCCUGGGGGCUGACGGAAUAGCCCGCUGAGCUUAGGCUACGGCCGAAGCGAAGGUAAGCAGAUUCUACCGAGAAAAGCGAGUAUGGCAGCUCGUACCGUAAACGGACACACGUAGUUGGGUUGAGUAUACUAAGGCGCUCGAGUGAUUCAUGGCUAAGGAACUAGGCAAAUUAACCCUGUAACUUCGGGAGAAAGGGUCCCUGCUCUUAACUGAGUAGGGCGCAGAGAAAUGGCCCAGGCGACUGUUUAUCAAAAACACAUGGCUUUGCUAAAUCGAAAGAUGAUGUAUAAGGCCUGACACCUGCCCGGUGCUGGAAGGUUAAGAGGAGAUGUUAUCUUCGGAGAAGCAUUGAAUUGAAGCCCCAGUAAACGGCGGCCGUAACUAUAACGGUCCUAAGGUAGCGAAAUUCCUUGUCGGGUAAGUUCCGACCUGCACGAAUGG